rnacentral:rRNA from 1 species
GGUUCAUUCAAAUUUCUGCCCUAUCAACUUUCGAUGGUAGGAUAGUGGCCUACCAUGGUUUCAACGGGUAACGGGGAAUUAGGGUUCUAUUCUGGAGAAGGAGCCUGAGAAACGGCUACUACAUCCAAGGAAGGCAGCAGGCGCGCAAAUUACCCAAUCCCGACCGGGGAGGUAGUGACAAUAAAUACUGAUACAGGGCUCUUUUGAGUCUUGUAAUUGGAAUGAGUACAAUUUAAAUCCCUUAACGAGGAACAAUUGGAGGGCAAGUCUGGUGCCAGCAGCCGCGGUAAUUCCAGCUCCAAUAGCGUAUAUUAAAGUUGUUGCAGUUAAAAAGCUCGUAGUUG